rnacentral:rRNA from 1 species
CCUACGGGUGGCUGCAGUGGGGAAUAUUGGACAAUGGGGGCAACCCUGAUCCAGCCAUGCCGCGUGUGUGAAGAAGGCCCUCGGGUUGUAAAGCACUUUCAGUGAGGAAGAACGCCUGGUGGUUAAUACCCAUCAGGAAAGACAUCACUCACAGAAGAAGCACCGGCUAACUCCGUGCCAGCAGCCGCGGUAAUACGGAGGGUGCGAGCGUUAAUCGGAAUUACUGGGCGUAAAGCGCGCGUAGGUGGCUUGAUAAGCCGGUUGUGAAAGCCCCGGGCUCAACCUGGGAACGGCAUCCGGAACUGUCAAGCUAGAGUGCAGGAGAGGAAGGUAGAAUUCCCGGUGUAGCGGUGAAAUGCGUAGAGAUCGGGAGGAAUACCAGUGGCGAAGGUGGCCUUCUGGACUGACACUGACACUGAGGUGCGAAAGCGUGGGUAGCAAACAGGAUUAGAUACCCGAGUAGUC